AGCAGCCGCGGUAAUUCCAGCUCCAAUAGCGUAUAUUAAAGUUGUUGCAGUUAAAAAGCUCGUAGUUGAAUUUCGGGAUUGGCGCAUCGGUCGUGCCUCACGGGGUAUGAACUGGUGCAGUCAAUUUCUCACCUUCUGGAGAACCGCGAUGUCCUUAAUUGGAUGCCGCGGGGAACCAGGACCUUUACUUUGAAAAAUUAGAGUGUUUAAAGCAGGCAUUUUUGCUUGAAUACAUUAGCAUGGAAUAAUAAAAUAGGACGGCAUGGUUCUAUUUUGUUGGUUUCUAGGACCACCGUAAUGAUUAAUAGGGAUAGUUGGGGGCAUUAGUAUUCAAUUGUCAGAGGUGAAAUUCUUGGAUUUAUUGAAGACUAACUACUGCGAAAGCAUUUGCCAAGGAUGUUUUCAUUAAUCAAGAACGAAAGUUAGGGGAUCGAAGACGAUCAGAUACCGUCGUAGUCUUAACCAUAAACUAUGCCGACUAGGAAUCAGACGAUGUUAAUUUUUAAUGUACU
rnacentral:rRNA from 1 species